UCUGCUGCAAGCAGAUCUUAUGAUGUGAGUGCUUUCAGGAGGCAAUGGCAUAAUUAAUUAAGAGCAUCCUCCAAAGCCCUCAGAACCCUUGGAUCUGAGGCUGCCAGGGGCCAGUCUUCACCUGCAGGAAUGAAAAUGCUCCAGCAGGAGCCAGGCAAGCAGGCUGUGCCCUGCUCUUGUUUAUGUGACUGUCUGUCUGGGUAGGAUUGCCCGUCCCUCAGUCCCCUCUACCGCUGAGCUCCUGGAGCUUUAAUGAGGUGAAUAAGGAUGCCAGGAUGGGACAAUGACAGUGGAACCAGGGGGAUAUUUGAGACGAGAGUCAAGAGGCAGAUUGGACACACUCAAAGAUGCCCUCCAGCUUUUCUUUGGCUUCACAAAGAAGAUCAAGUAGAAGGAGGAUCCUGCAAUAAGGAGCAAUAAAAGGAUUUGGGCAGCCCUUUUAGGUUGCAGGAGAGAGUAUUAAGACUCUGGGUGUGUCACUGCCUGGUAGUUCUUCAGGAGUGGGCUGCUAUCUUCUGUCUCCUCCAGUCCAUUUCCUCACAGGCUGUUUUUCCCUCGCCACUUGAAGAAUUUCUCUUUAUCCUUCCAAGACUGAUCUCAUUCACAACCUCACAGAGAAACGCUUCUUGGUCUUCACGGCUUUCUGACCACUUUAUGGUGCCGAGAAACCCUUCUGCCUGCCUCUUUCCCCGUGCUGGCUGGUUUUAGGUCAAUUUGAUACAAGCCAGAGUCAUUGAGAAAAUGCCUCCAUAAGAUAGGGUCUUAUAGAUAGGCCUGUAGAGCAUUUUCUUAAUUUGCGAUUGAUGUAGGCAGGCCCCGCCCACUGGAAGUGGGCCCACCCCUGGGUUGGUGGUCCUGGGUUCUGUAAGAAAAGAAGCUGAGCAGGUCAUUAAGGAGCAAGUCAGUAAGCAGCACUCCUUCAUGGCUUCUGCACCAGCUGCGACUUCCAGGUUCUGGCUGUAUUUGAGUUCCUGUCCUGACUUCCUUCCGUGAUGAACAGUGAUAUGGAGUAUAAGCCAAAUAAACAUUUUCC